UACGUAGGGACCGAGCGUUUGUCCGGAAUCAUUGGGCGUAAAGGGCUCGUAGGCGGUUUGUCGCGUCGGGAGUGAAAACUCAGGGUCUUAACCCUUGACGCCUGCUUCCGAUACGGGCAGACUAGAGGUAUGCAGGGGAGAACGGAAGUUCCUGGUGUAGCGGUGAAAUGCGCAGAUAUCAGGAGGAACACCGGUGGCGAAGGCGGUUCUCUGGGCAUUACCUGACGCUGAGGAGCGAAAGUGUGGGGAGCGAACAGG
rnacentral:rRNA from 1 species